rnacentral:misc_RNA from 1 species
CCGAACAAAACAUCAUAUCAACCAACCAUGUGAAAUGUUUUGGGUGACCUUUACUGGAGGGAUAGCUGGAGUUGUUAUGCGUGCGCCUUUCGGGGUGCGCGUAUAGCUCAUCUCCAAAUUUUUUAUCCCUUCAGGCCUUGAUGAACUACCUUGUAACAAAGGUUGAUUUUAUAUCGUCUUUUCAACUUUAGAAAAGUAAAUGAUAUGA